GCUUGCACCUGGUGGCGAGUGGCGAACGGGUGAGUAAUAUAUCGGAACGUACCCGGCAAUGGGGGAUAACGUAGCGAAAGUUACGCUAAUACCGCAUAUGCCCUGAGGGGGAAAGCGGGGGAUCGAAAGACCUCGCGUUGUCGGAGCGGCCGAUAUCGGAUUAGCUAGUUGGUGGGGUAAAGGCCUACCAAGGCGACGAUCCGUAGCUGGUCUGAGAGGACGACCAGCCACACUGGGACUGAGACACGGCCCAGACUCCUACGGGAGGCAGCAGUGGGGAAUUUUGGACAAUGGGGGAAACCCUGAUCCAGCCAUGCCGCGUGAGUGAAGAAGGCCUUCGGGUUGUAAAGCUCUUUCGGACAGAAAGAAAUCGCAUCUACUAAUACUAGGUGUGGAUGACGGUACUGUAAGAAGAAGCACCGGCUAACUACGUGCCAGCAGCCGCGGUAAUACGUAGGGUGCGAGCGUUAAUCGGAAUUACUGGGCGUAAAGCGUGCGCAGGCGGUUUCGUAAGACAGAUGUGAAAUCCCCGGGCUUAACCUGGGAACUGCAUUUGUGACUGCGAGACUAGAGUGUGGCAGAGGGGGGUAGAAUUCCACGUGUAGCAGUGAAAUGCGUAGAGAUGUGGAGGAAUACCGAUGGCGAAGGCAGCCCCCUGGGCCAACACUGACGCUCAUGCACGAAAGCGUGGGGAGCAAACAGGAUUAGAUACCCUGGUAGUCCACGCCCUAAACGAUGUCAACUAGUUGUUGGGGAAGGAGACUUCCUUAGUAACGCAGCUAACGCGUGAAGUUGACCGCCUGGGGAGUACGGUCGCAAGAUUAAAACUCAAAGGAAUUGACGGGGACCCGCACAAGCGGUGGAUUAUGUGGAUUAAUUCGAUGCAACGCGAAAAACCUUACCUACCCUUGACAUGCCAGGAACUUUCCAGAGAUGGAUUGGUGCCCGAAAGGGAACCUGGACACAGGUGCUGCAUGGCUGUCGUCGGGUCGUGUCGUGAGAUGUUGGGUUAAGUCCCGCAACGAGCGCAACCCUUGCCAUUAAUUGCCAUCAUUCAGUUGGGCACUUUAAUGGGACUGCCGGUGAUGAACCGGAGGAAGGUGGGGAUGACGUCAAGUCCUCAUGGCCCUUAUGGGUAGGGCUUCACACGUAAUACA
rnacentral:rRNA from 1 species